GCGGUGGAAAAUCGUCACUCACUGCAAAUAGCAGGAAAAGAAAUCCCCGCCAAGCCUCCGCACCGCGACACCGCAACGGGAAGUGGCAGCUGCAGGGCGGCUACAGAAGCUCCUCCCAAGAAGAGGAUUCGCAGAGAGAGGGCCAUCAAAGGAGGAGGAUCAAGGUCACCAGGGAGAAGGAGGAGAGGAGCAGGCCCCCUACCUGAAAGCCGUGGAUGUCGGGAGCGCCCUGCCAGCACUCAGCCCUCCACCGCCGGGAAUCUGGAGAGUCGGUCCGCACCACGGCUCCGGGCGACCGGGAGCACCGAAGCUUCAUGUCAGGAACAGGGAACGGCAGGACCCGCAGCCCGAUGUUCGCAGUUGCGUCCUCAGCCCGGCAACACCACACAGUGAAAGUGACCCUGAAGACGGUAUGGACAGUUACGUCAGCCCGGGGAGUGUCCAGAUGUUCGCCUGUACAGCAGGGAUGCAGGGACCGACUGGGGUGAAUGGAUUCCGACUAGGUACUGCGGUUACUGCUUACAAUCGGGGUACGAAUCGCGAACGUUAACGUGCGGAGCGUCAAGUCUACAGCUCGAUGCGUCUCCCCGUUGGCCUACCUGAUCGACAUUAAGGCAGACUUCCUGUUUCUGCAGCAGUGCUGGAUACUGCACCUCGGCAGGUACCGGAAAUGGUCGGGCGCCUGGACUCGUGGGCCUUCAGUCUGGUCGGUGGGGGGGCGCGGGUAACGACUGUCGCUCCUCGGGCCUGGCUAUUUUGCUGCGGGGGUGCAACUUCACCAUCUCCCAAGUUCAGGAGGUGGUAGGGCACCUCCUAAUGGUGGACGUCACCUACAAAAACGCUCUCCUGAGGCUGAUCAACGUGUACGCCCCAGCAGUAUGGAGUGAGCAGUUGGCCGUCCUGCAGCAGCUUCCACCCCUGCUGGCUACGUUCAGGCCGGUCAUCCUAGCCGGAGACUUCAACUGCAUCAUCGAUGCAGAUGGAAGAUCCGCCGUGGGGACAGUGGACAGGGGGGUGGGUGGGGAGGACUAAACUGGACAUCACGUCCAGAUUCCUGAUGGACACGGUGAAGGACGCCAAACUGCUCGACGUCUUCAGCACCCCUGCAGACAGGGUUCGGGGAGGGCAUCCGCAAUUGGAUCCGGCUGCUCUACGCCAACAUCGUUAGCGCAGUCUCGAUCAACGGGUGGGAAUCAGACAGUUUUCCUGUUAGAUCUGGAGUCAGGCAGGGCUGCCCGCUCUCUCCUGCCUUGUUCGUGUGCUGUGUGGAGCCCUUCGCCACAUCCAUCAGGAAGGACGUGAGGCCUGCAGGUCAAGACCUCCCUGUACGUGGACUACGUCACCGUCUUCUGCGCCGAUCGCCGGUCGGUCCAACGACCCUUCCUCAGAACUGGAAUGAAUGAAUGGAUGAUGGGCCCUAGGACCCAGCGGAGCCACAGCUGUGGGAGAAACCGCGGCCGGCAGUUUCAAGAGGCAAGAGCAUGACAGAAAGCAAGAGAAGUCUGGAUUAAAGUGCUUUCAUUUCAACGCAAUAGGUCUGACAGCCAGGUUGCAGCCUCGUGGAUCCAGAGCCUCAUGGGUCGCAGCGGUCUUCGCCGCUGCCAAAAUCCACUGACCCCCGGGGACAAGCAGGAGCCCUACAAGGGCCGCGGCGCAGGUACCGGAGCUCUUACUGGCCCAUCAGGUAGAGGAGAGAAAGGUGCUUCCUUCACAUUCCCAGGUUUUACCAGGUAUGUGGGGCAGCCGGGGGAACCCUUUGAGGGCUGGGUGACCCAGAUACCCAUUCUGAAGAUGCCACACGCUUGCCCCAUAUUUACUCUAUUGGUAAAGAGAAAAUGUGAAAACAUGCAAAAAUUAAAGAACGGUUUUGUCCCUCGUGUUAUCAGACUUUUGAACGGACCGCUCAUUAGGGUUGAUCUUUCUCUGCACCUUCUCUGUAGCAGUAACACUUUAUUCUGCAUUCUGUUCUAUUAUCUUGAUGGUAAUAUUUAAAGUAUGGUUUGACUGCUGAGCACUCAAAAUGAUACUUUU